UGGUGGAGCGAUUUGUCUGGUUAAUUCCGAUAACGAACGAGACUCCGGCCUACUAAAUAGUGACGGGAUUCGCACGUCCCGCUCACUUCUUAGAGGGAUUAACGGCGUUCAGCCGUAUGAAAGGAGCAAUAACA
rnacentral:rRNA from 1 species